rnacentral:lncRNA from 1 species
UCCCCAACCGAGGGUACGUAGGUAACUUGAAGCUUCAAAACUUCAAGUACAGUCACACCAUUAACAAAAACAUAAACACUUUGAAGAAUAAAGAGCAAAUUCAAGAAUGUGAAUACUUUAUUUCUUUAAAGGAAGAAGUUGGCUACAAAGCCUUAUUACAAAAAGAAAAGAAAAAGGAAGGCUUCAAGCACAAAAAUGGAAGACACUACUGAAGAGCUAUGUCCCUAAAACUAUGGCGAUGAUCUUCAAGCAAGCAUUCCAAAGUCUUCAAAGUCUCUACAUCGGUGGGAGACAAGGUGGGCAUUUCCAUGGUUGUGCCUUUCUCAAGCAACCUCCUAUUGAUACUGAGAAAGUGUAGCUUCUUGCUCCGAGAGAACACCUUGAAGUCGUGACCCUUCAGUUUCCAACUACUCUCGCUCACAUGCCAACGCUUCUAGACAUGCUUGGACGGAAGCCAAAUAAGUUUAUGUGGCUUGAUAAACUUCCAAAGCAGCUUGUUGAGAAUACCAAACUUGGGCAAUUGAUAAGUCUAUUGCCGCAAGUUGUUGAGCUCUAACCUUUAGACUCAACUUCUUCAAGGAAAUAGUAUGCAAGAAAGAAUACUUAGUUGAGGCGGCCAUAAGUUCGACAAUCUUGACUCUCAAAAGCGAGGAAUCAACAUUAAGAUUGUCAAUCGCAGAAACAAGCUUCAACAAGUAUUCUUUGAGCAAUA